rnacentral:rRNA from 1 species
AGAGUUUGAUCCUGGCUCAGAAUCAACGCUGGCGGCGUGCCUCAGACAUGCAAGUCGAACGAUUAAAGCUCUCUUCGGAGAGUGCAUAGAGUGGCGCACGGGUGAGUAACACGUAAGUAACCUACCUUCGAGUGGGGAAUAACGUCCGGAAACGGACGCUAAUACCGCAUAAUGCAGCGGCAUCGCAAGAUGACAGUUGUUAAAGAUUUAUCGCUUGAAGAGGAGCUUGCGGCAGAUUAGCUAGUUGGUAAGGUAAUGGCUUACCAAGGCUACGAUCUGUAACCGGUCUUAGAGGACGGUCGGUCACACUGACACUGAAUAACGGGUCAGACUCCUACGGGAGGCAGCAGUCGGGAAUUUUGGGCAAUGGGCGAAAGCCUGACCCAGCAACGCCGCGUGAAGGAUGAAGUAUUUCGGUAUGUAAACUUCGAAAGAAUGGGAAGAAUCAAUGACGGUACCAUUUAUAAGGUCCGGCUAACUACGUGCCAGCAGCCGCGGUAAUACGUAGGGACCAAGCGUUGUUCGGAUUUACUGGGCGUAAAGGGCGCGUAGGCGGCUUUGUAAGUCACUUGUGAAAUCUCCGGGCUUAACUCGGAACGGCCAAGUGAUACUGCAAAGCUAGAGUGCAGAAGGGGCAAUCGGAAUUCUUGGUGUAGCGGUGAAAUGCGUAGAUAUCAAGAGGAACACCUGAGGUGAAGACGGGUUGCUGGGCUGACACUGACGCUGAGGCGCGAAAGCCAGGGGAGCAAACGGGAUUAGAUACCCCGGUAGUCCUGGCCCUAAACGAUGAAUACUUGGUG